CUCGGGGCAGCUUUAUGCAGUAGUGAGCUCUCCAUCGCUGGAGGUAUGCAAGCUGAGACCGGACUUCAGCUGAGCAGAGUUGGCAUCAAGGAGGAGAAAGGAAAGAAAGACAUACCUCCUCCCUUUAAAGAAGACUUCUGGGAAGUUCCGUACAACACUUCCAUUGGCCACGACUUAGUCACGUGGCUACACCUACACGCCAAAACAGCCAGAGAACGAGAAAUGAGACCGACUACAACCAAAUUUGAAAUCCCUACUGAGGUUUGAAUCCAGCUUGCGGGUAUAUUUAGGUUAGCCUUGGCAGUUGUGAAUUUUGGAAAGCAUGAUUAGGCAUUUAAAUGUUAUGAGAUAACCUAAAAUAAAUCUUGGUCGCUGGUUUCUCUGGGAACUCAACGUGUAGUAAUGCUGGGCACACAUCCUGUGGCUCGCGCCGCCGAGUAGCUGCUUCCUCGUGUGCUGCUCCUCUCUCCUGUGGGUCGUCUGCAGGGCCCUUGUAGAUGUCAGAGUCCAGGACCCUGACCUUGGAGGCCCGCUGUCAAGUGCCCAGCUCACCUGCUCUCUGGAGAGCGGACCUCAGGCUGCCGUCUACUCCUGGCUGGCUCUCUGCCAUGGCCUGGGAAAGCAGUAGAGGAUGGCCCAAGUCGUUGGGCCCCUGCACCCAGUGGGGAGACCUGGAGGAGGCUCCUGGCUCCUGGCUUUGGAUCGGCACAGCUCCAGCGGUUGAAGUCAUUUGGGGAAUGAACCGGCCAAUGGAAGACCUUUCUGUCUGUCUCUCCCUCUCACUGUAUGUAACUCUACCUGUCAAAUAAAUAAAUAAAUA